UUGGAGCAUGGCACACACGUGAAACCUACCGGUUGUCAGAGAAAGAAAUCCUCUGGCCUCUUCCUUUGCUCCCAACUUGUCGUCCGAGCGGACAGAUCCCUCAACAUCUGACCGGACAUCCGCGGUGGUUUACUUGUGCUUUGUGGCGACUAAUAAACAGGGGUGCUUUAUGACUGUGGUCGAUCAAAAGGUCAGCUCGGUCCAUGACCUUUUUAACUGAGCGUCGGAACCCCGAUUUGACAGGGUGCCUCCCCACCAUAAGUGCGAGCCGGCCGGACCCAUCCGGGUAUUCGAUUCCAUCGGCCUGCCGGCAGUCAGGUCGGACCGGCCGUCUACAGCCGUCCGUCCGGCCGGACCACAUUCUACCCGGAUGGACGGCUGCUCCGAUGACUUCCACGGGGCGUUGACUUUGCAAGAGGGGGGGGGGGCCCGCUCUUACUACCGGAUCAGCAGAAAAGCCUUAUACAAGCUCUCACAAGAACACGACACAUGAAACAAGAAAGUAAUACAAAUACAAUGAAUCCUUUGCUUGUUUGAUUUCUUGUUGCUUGGAAAUGUCUCUUGUUAACUCGGAAAUGCAGCAGAACUUCGCUUCAAAAUUUCACGAAACCCGCUUUUGUAGGAUUUUUCGGAAAACACCUCCCCAAUCGCUUUCCGUAGUUCGUUGGGAAGAACUCGCAAGACGUGCUGAAGAAAAUAGAUUCCGUAGUCAGUAACCACAGCUAAUCCAUUGAAUUAACAAACAAUCAAAGAGAAAUAAAAAAAUAAAUAAAAAUAGAAAUUGAAGAGAAACUAUUCUUACUGGAAUAAAUCGCUGGAAAAUAGUCAAAUCACCGAGUUUGUUGGGAAAAAGUUGUCCUCCACUCCACUUGCUAAAAAAUAGUCAUAGGAAUCACCCGGUUCAUCUUGCAAUCACCUUCCCGGUGAAGGUGGGAUAAUGGACUUGCUGGCAGUUGCUGAUCCAGAUUGUGUUCGGGCUGCUCAGACCUUCAUUAAGAUGCAAUUGCUCUUACUUUGAAAGAAGAUCUCUUAGCCACUUUGCCGAUCCAGAUUGUGUUCGGGCUGCUCAGACCUUCAUUAAGAAGCAAAUUGCUCUUACUUUGAAAGAAGAUCUCUUAGCCACUGUGAAUAAUAACAGAAGCUUGGAGCCUUUUGUUUUUGACCGUCAUAAUAUCGCCCGACGUGCUUUAAAGAACAUAGCUCUUGCUUAUCUUUCAUCAUUGGACUAUCCAGAGCUCGCCAAUCUUGCAUUGGACGCAUAUAAGUCUGCUACUAAUAUGACCGACCAGUUUGCUGUGUUAGCCCAAAAUCCAGGAUGAGUUCACGAUGAUGUUUCUCGCUGAAUUAUAUGGAAAAUGCAACAUGACUUUUUGGUUGUGAAUAAAUCCUGGGGGAACUUCUCAAAUGUCUAGUAAGUGGAUGAGCUGCAUUCGACCUUCAAAAUCCUAACAAGGUUUACUCGUUAGUUGGAGGUUUCUGCGGUUCACUUGCGCAUUCUCAUGCAAAAAAUGGUUCAGGCUACAAAUUCUUGGGGGAUUUUAGUCAUGCGGUGGAAAUGUUCUUCGAUCAUAGAGAGAUGGAGAGGAACUAAAGAUGUUGGAGGUGGAAGGUGGAGUGAAGGAAAAAAGUUUGGUGUAAUGUUUUUUUUCUCCAUGUAUCAACUUUUCUCUCCUCUUCGAUUCAUUCUAGAGGAGAGAAAAGGGUGGGAAGAGGAUCCUCUCAUCUCAAUCUUUUUCUCACCUUCCUAUACUUGAGUUUGUGCCGGUCUAGUUUUGGUAUUUUAUUCUUA